GACGAACGCUGGCGGCGUGCCUAACACAUGCAAGUCGGACGGAUCAGGUAUGACAGCUUGCUGUAGUGCCUGGUUAGUGGCGGACGGGUGAGUAACGCGUUGGUGAUCUGCCUCGAAGUGUGGAAUAACCUCCCGAAAGGGAAGCUAAUACCGCAUAGUCUCUCAAGGUUUAGAAAAUUGAGAGUAAAGGAUUUAUUCGCUUCGAGAGGAGCCUGCGUCCCAUCAGCUAGUUGGUAGGGUAACGGCCUACCAAGGCAAUGACGGGUAGGGGACCUGAGAGGGUGGCCCCCCACAAUGGAACUGAAACACGGUCCAUACACCUACGGGUGGCAGCAGUAGGGAAUAUUAGAAAUGGGCGGAAGCCUGAUCUAGCAACACCGCGUGUGCGAUGAAGGCCUUCGGGUCGUAAAGCACUUUUGGAGGGAAUAGGAAGGAAGGUACCUCCAGAAUAAGUCUCGGCUAACUACGUG
rnacentral:rRNA from 1 species